rnacentral:rRNA from 1 species
AACGUAGGUGGCUAACGUUAUCCGGAUUUACUGGGCGUAAAGCGUGCGCAGGCGGCCUUUCAAGUCGGAUGUAAAAUCUCCUGGCUCAACUGGGAGGGAACAUUCGAUACUGAUAGGCUUGAGUACAGUAGAGGAAAGUGGAAUUCCCGGUGUAGUGGUGGAAUGCGUAGAUAUCGGGAGGAACACCAGUGGCGAAAGCGGCUUUCUGGGCUGUAACUGACGCUGAUGCACAAAAGCGUGGGGAG